GACGAACGCUGGCGGCGUGCCUAAUACAUGCAAGUAGAACGCUGAAGGAGGAGCUUGCUUCUCUGGAUGAGUUGCGAACGGGUGAGUAACGCGUAGGUAACCUGCCUGGUAGUGGGGGAUAACUAUUGGAAACGAUAGCUAAUACCGCAUAAUAGCAGUUGUUGCAUGAUAACUGUUUGAAAGGUGCAAUUGCACCGCUACCAGAUGGACCUGCGUUGUAUUAGCUAGUUGGUGGGGUAACGGCUCACCAAGGCGACGAUACAUAGCCGACCUGAGAGGGUGAUCGGCCACACUGGGACUGAGACACGGCCCAGACUCCUACGGGAGGCAGCAGUAGGGAAGCUUCGGCAAUGGACGGAAGUCUGACCGAGCAACGCCGCGUGAGUGAAGAAGGUUGUCGGAUCGUAAAGCUCUGUUGUAAGAGAAGAACGAGUGUGAGAGUGGAAAGUUCACACUGUGACGGUAUCUUACCAGAAAGGGACGGCUAACUACGUG
rnacentral:rRNA from 1 species